UACGAAGGGUGCAAGCGUUAAUCGGAAUUACUGGGCGUAAAGGGCGCGUAGGCGGCUUUUCAAGUCGGGCGUGAAAUCUCCAGGCUUAACCUGGAAGGGUCGUUCGAUACUGUUAAGCUAGAGUGUGGAAGAGGCUACUGGAAUUCCGUGUGUAGCGGUGAAAUGCGUAGAUAUACGGAGGAACACCAAUGGCGAAGGCAAUCUCCUGGACCUGCACUGACGCUCAUGCACGAAAGCGUGGGGAGCAAACAGG
rnacentral:rRNA from 1 species